GACGAACGCUGGCGGCGUGCUUAACACAUGCAAGUCGAACGGAAAGGCCCUGCUUUUGUGGGGUGCUCGAGUGGCGAACGGGUGAGUAACACGUGAGUAACCUGCCCUUGACUUUGGGAUAACUUCAGGAAACUGGGGUUAAUACCGGAUAGGAGCUCCUGCUGCAUGGUGGGGGUUGGAAAGUUUCGGCGGUUGGGGAUGGACUCGCGGCUUAUCAGCUUGUUGGUGGGGUAGUGGCUUACCAAGGCUUUGACGGGUAGCCGGCCUGAGAGGGUGACCGGCCACAUUGGGACUGAGAUACGGCCCAGACGCCUACGGGAGGCAGCAGUGGGGAAUAUUGCACAAUGGGCGGAAGCCGGAUGCAGCAACGCCGCGUGCGGGAUGACGGCCUUCGGGUGGUAAACCGCUUUCGCCUGUGACGAAGCGUGAGUGACGGUAAUGGGUAAAGAAGCACCGGCUAACUACGU
rnacentral:rRNA from 1 species